ACAACCGACUGCUAUUGCACCACAUGUGUUUUUCUUUGAAACAAACUUGCUUUGGCGGUGGGCCCAGCCUGCCGCCAGAGGUCUAAACUUACAACCAAUUUUUUAUCAACUUGUCACACCAGAUUAUUACUAAUAGUCAAAACUUUCAACAACGGAUCUCUUGGUUCUCGCAUCGAUGAAGAACGCAGCGAAAUGCGAUACGUAAUAUGAAUUGCAGAUAUUCGUGAAUCAUCGAAUCUUUGAACGCACAUUGCGCCCUCUGGUAUUCCGGAGGGCAUGCCUGUUUGAGCGUCGUUUCUCCCUCAAACCGCUGGGUUUGGUGUUGAGCAAUACGACUUGGGUUUGCUUGAAAGACGGUAGUGGUAAGGCGGGAUCGCUUUGACAAUGGCUUAGGUCUAACCAAAAACAUUGCUUGCGGCGGUAACGUCCACCACGUAUAUCUUCAAACUUUGACCUCAAAUCAGGUAGGACUACCCGCUGAACUUAAGCAUAUCA
rnacentral:rRNA from 1 species